rnacentral:rRNA from 1 species
UGAGGAAUAUUGCACAAUGGGCGCAAGCCUGAUGCAGCGACGCCGCGUGUGGGAUGAAGGGGCUACGCCUCGUAAACCACUGUAGCCCGGGACGAAAAACGCCUUAGAGGCGUUAGACGGUACCGGGAAAGUAAGGGUCGGCUAACUACGUGCCAGCAGCCGCGGUAAAACGUAGGAGGCGAGCGUUAUCCGGAUUUACUGGGCGUAAAGCGCGUGCAGGCGGAUUGGAGAGUUGGAUGUGAAAGCUCCCGGCUUAACUGGGAGAGGUCGUUCAAUACUUCCAUCCUUGAGUGCAGUAGAGGGAAGUGGAAUUCCGGGUGUAGUGGUGAAAUGCGUAGAUAUCCGGAGGAACACCAGUGGCGAAAGCGGCUUCCUGGACUGUAACUGACGCUCAGACGCGAAAGCUAGGGUAGCAAACG